CAAGUACGUAGGCGGGUGGUUUAGGUAAAUCCGGACCGCUACUAACGCUGAGAUACGAUGUCGAGCUACUACGGUAGUGAAGUCAUUGAUGCCAUGCUUCCAGGAAAAGCCUCUAAGCUUCAGAUUGUAAGGAAUCGUACCCCAAACCGACACAGGUGGUCGGGUAGAGAAUACCAAGGCGCUUGAGAGAACUCGGGUGAAGGAACUAGGCAAAAUGGUACCGUAACUUCGGGAGAAGGUACGCUCUUAUCAGUGAAGUCCCUUGCGGAUGGAGCAGACGAGAGUCGCAGAUACCAGGUGGCUGCAACUGUUUAUUAAAAACACAGCACUGUGCAAAAUCGUAAGAUGACGUAUACGGUGUGACGCCUGCCCGGUGCCGGAAGGUUAAUUGAUGGGGUUAGACUUCGGUCGAAGCUCUUGAUCGAAGCCCCGGUAAACGGCGGCCGUAACUAUAACGGUCCUAAGGUAGCGAAAUUCCUUGUCGGGUAAGUUCCGACCUGCACGAAUGGCGUAAUGAUGGCCACGCUGUCUCCACCCGAGACUCAGUGAAAUUGAAAUCGCUGUGAAGAUGCAGUGUACCCGCGGCUAGACGGAAAGACCCCGUGAACCUUUACUACAGCUUGGCACUGAACAUUGAACCUACAUGUGUAGGAUAGGUGGGAGACUUUGAAACCGCGUCGCUAGAUGUGGUGGAGUCGUCCUUGAAAUACCACCCUUGUAGUUUUGAUGUUCUAACGUUGGCCCCUGAAUCGGGGUUACGGACAGUGCCUGGUGGGUAGUUUGACUGGGGCGGUCUCCUCCCAAAGAGUAACGGAGGAGCACGAAGGUGGGCUAAACACGGUUGGACAUCGUGUGGUUAGUGCAAUGGCAUAAGCCCGCUUGACUGCGAGAAUGACAAUUCGAGCAGGUGCGAAAGCAGGUCAUAGUGAUCCGGUGGUUCUGAAUGGAAGGGCCAUCGCUCAACGGAUAAAAGGUACUCCGGGGAUAACAGGCUGAUACCGCCCAAGAGUUCAUAUCGACGGCGGUGUUUGGCACCUCGAUGUCGGCUCAUCACAUCCUGGGGCUGAAGUCGGUCCCAAGGGUAUGGCUGUUCGCCAUUUAAAGUGGUACGCGAGCUGGGUUUAGAACGUCGUGAGACAGUUCGGUCCCUAUCUGCCGUGGGCGUUGGAAAAUUGAAAGGGGCUGCUCCUAGUACGAGAGGACCGGAGUGGACGAACCUCUGGUGUUCGGGUUGUCAUGCCAAUGGCAUUGCCCGGUAGCUAAGUUCGGAAUCGAUAACCGCUGAAAGCAUCUAAGCGGGAAGCGAGCCUUGAGAUGAGUUUUCCCUGACGCUAUAAGCGUCCUAAAGGGUUGUCGUAGACUACGACGUUGAUAGGCAGGGUGUGUAAGUGCUGCGAGGCAUUGAGCUAACCUGUACUAAUUGCCCGUGAGGCUUAACCAUACAACACCCAAGGGGUUU
rnacentral:rRNA from 1 species